rnacentral:rRNA from 1 species
CAUGACCUCGGAUCAGGUAG